rnacentral:rRNA from 1 species
GACAGAGGGUGCAAACGUUGUUCGGAAUUACUGGGCGUAAAGCGUGCGUAGGCUGCUACAUAAGUCGGAUGUGAAAGCCCCGGGCUCAACCCGGGAAGUGCACUCGAUACUGCGUAGCUUGAGUCUCGGAGAGGUUGGUGGAAUUCUCGGUGUAGAGGUGAAAUUCGUAGAUAUCGGGAGGAACACCGGUGGCGAAGGCGGCGAUCUGGGUAGAUACUGACGCUGAGGUGCGAAAGCGUGGGGAGCAAACAGG